rnacentral:siRNA from 1 species
UGAAUAUCGUAGGAAUAGAGGUAC